GACGAACGCUGGCGGCGUGCUUAACACAUGCAAGUCGAACGGAAAGGCCUUUUCGGAGGUACUCGAGUGGCGAACGGGUGAGUAACACGUGGGUGAUCUGCCCUGCACUCUGGGAUAAGCCUGGGAAACUGGGUCUAAUACCGGAUAGGACCGCACUUUAGUGUGUGUGGUGGAAAGUUUUUUCGGUGUAGGAUGAGCCCGCGGCCUAUCAGCUUGUUGGUGGGGUAAUGGCCUACCAAGGCGGCGACGGGUAGCCGGACUGAGAGGUUGGUCGGCCACAUUGGGACUGAGAUACGGCCCAGACUCCUACGGGAGGCAGCAGCGGGGAAUAUUGCACAAUGGGCGCAAGCCUGAUGCAGCGACGCCGCGGGGGGGAUGACGGACUUCGGGUUGUAAACUCCUUUCGCCAGGGACGAAGCGUUUUGUGACGGUACCUGGAGAAGAAGCACCGGCUAACUACGUG
rnacentral:rRNA from 1 species